AGUAAUCCAGGUCAGUUUCUAUCUAUACAUGAGUUUCUUCUAGUACGAAAGGACCGGAGAAACGCGGCCCAUAUUUUUACAAGCCGCAGCUACUAAAUUAUGAUAAAAACUUAAUAAUAUCGUAGCCCAUUAUUCUACUCAAGACAAGAGUUG
rnacentral:rRNA from 1 species